UAAUUAAAGACUAGAACAAAAGAUUUUACAUUUAAAUUACUUUAUUUAAUUUUUCUCUUAAAACUAUUUUAAAAGUAAAAAAACUUUUAUACUUCAGAAAGACGACAAGACCCUAUUGAACUUAACUUUAGUUAAACUGGGGUAGUUUUUCAAUUAUUAUUUUAAUCUUAAUACUUCUAAAUUUAUCUAAUAAAAUUAAAUUAUUCAGUUACCAUAGGGAUAACAGCGCAAUUUAUUUUUAAAGUUCUUAUAUAAAAAUUAUAUUACGACCUCGAUGUUGAAUUAAAACCCUAUUUUUAAGGAAAAUCUUAUUUAAGGAAGUCUGUUCGACUUUUAAACAAUUACAUGAUUUGAGUUCAGACCGGUGUAAGCCAGGUCGGUUUCUAUCUUCUCUUAAAUUUUUACAGUACGAAAGGACCUAAAAACAUAAUAUAAUUAUUAUAUUGGCAGAAAAUUGCAUUAGAAUUAGAAUCUAAUAAAUCUAUA
rnacentral:rRNA from 1 species